rnacentral:rRNA from 1 species
CUAAACCUUAAAUAUGUCAAGGAUACAGCCGUUGUAUUUAGGGGGUUGAGGGACAGAGUAGUGAAGAACUGUAAGAUAUUCAAUAUAGUGUAUUGAUGAAUUGGAAUUGUCUGGAAAGGCGAACCGUAGAAGGUGAAAGUCCUGUACAAGUAAAUCCUUACACAUAUAACUCUGCUCCCAAGUAACAUGGAACACGAGGAAUUCUGUGUGAAUCUGUGAGGACCAUAUCUCAUAAGGCUAAAUACUCUUACUAACCGAUAGCGCAUAGUACCGUGAGGGAAAGGUGAAAAGAACCCCUGGAGGGGAGUGAAAUAGAACCUGAAAUUGUGUGCUUACAAGCGGUCAGAGCCAGUAAUGGUGAUGGCGUGCCUUUUGGAGAAUGAUCCUGCGAGUUACGUUAAACGGCGAGGUUAAGUAUAACGGAGCCGAAGGGAAACCAAGUCUUAAUAGGGCGAUUUAGUCGUUUGGCGUAGACGCGAAACCUGGUGAUCUAAACCUGUCCAGGAUGAAGCUGUGGUAAGACACAGUGGAGGUCCUAACCCACCGCCGUUGAAAAGUUGGGGGAUGAGGUAGGUUUAGGGGUGAAAAGCCAAUCGAACCAGGAGAUAGCUCGUUCUCUCCGAAAUGCAUCUAGGUGCAGCCUUGAGUGUUCAAUUAUGGGGGUAGAGCACUGAAUGAUCUAGGGGGCAUAUUGCUUACUGAAAUCAAUCAAACUCCGAAUACCAUAAUUUAUAGCUCAGGAGUGAGACUAUGGGAGUUAACUUCCAUUGUCAAAAGGGAAACAACCCAGACCACCAGCUAAGGUCCCUAAUUAUAACUAAGUGGGAAAGGAGGUGGAGAUUCACAAACAACUAGGAGGUUGGCUUAGAAGCAGCCAUACCUUUAAAGAGUGCGUAAUAGCUCACUAGUCGAGAGUCUCUGCGCCGACAAUGUAACGGGGCUAAGUUAUAAACCGAAGCUGUGGAAUCCUUUUGGAUUGGUAGGAGAGCGUUCUGUAGGCCGUUGAAGAAGAAGGGUAACCGACUUUGGAGGUAUCAGAAGUGAGAAUGCAGGAAUAAGUAGCGAGAAAGGGGGCGAGAAUCCCCCUCGCCGGAAGACCAAGGUUUUCAGGGUAAAGCUUGUCUUCCCUGAGUAAGCCGGGACCUAAGCCCAGGCUAUAAUGCGUAGGCGAAUGGAAAACAGAUUAAUAUUUCUGUGCCAGUCAUUUAUUGUGAUGGAGGGACGCAGAAGGGUAUGCGCGCGGACGAACGGAAGUGUCCGUAGAAGUAUGUAGGAUGACUUGAUAGGUAAAUCCAUUGAGUUAUAUCUGAGGUAUGAUAUACAGUCGUAAGAUGAAUGUGCAAAUCCCACGCUGCCAAGAAAAGCUUCUAGCGUUAAUAUAUGACUGCCCGUACUGUAAACCGACACAGGUGGUCAGGAUGAGAAAUCUAAGGCGGACAGGCUAACUCUCGUUAAGGAACUCUGCAAAAUAACCUCGUAACUUCGGGAGAAGAGGAGCCCUUGAGUGUUAGUAUCCAUGCGAUACAAAGCGCUCGAGGGUCGCAGUGAAGAGGCUCAAGCAACUGUUUAACAAAAACACAGGUCUAUGCUAAGCUGGAAGGCGAUGUAUAUGGGCUGACACCUGCCCAGUGCUGGAAGGUUAAGAGGAGGAGUGAGAGCUCCGAAUUGAAGCCCCAGUGAACGGCGGCCGUAACUAUAACGGUCCUAAGGUAGCGAAAUUCCUUGUCGGGUAA